rnacentral:lncRNA from 1 species
CAACAAUCCUGCAAAAAAAGCCAGUCCCUUAAGAAACAUCAAGAUUGACAGUUGUCAUCAGAGAAAUGAUGAGGACCAGGAUCUUCAGGGUACCAUCUGGUGCUGUGUUUGAAGAAAAUGAGAAUGAGAGAUAUUUCCUCAAUAGAUGAAACUAUUGGCCCCAGCUCCAAAUUCACACUUGUUGCAGCAGUUAAUUCUGCAAAAUCACAGAAGGAA